rnacentral:rRNA from 1 species
AGAGUUUGAUCAUGGCUCAGGACGAACGCUGACGGUGUGCUUUAGGCAUGCAAGUCGAACGAGAAAACCCUUCGGGGUGAGUAAAGUGGCGAACGGGUGAGUAACACGUGGGCAACCUGCCCCUCGCAGGGGGACAACCGGAGGAAACUCCGGCUAAUACCCCGUACGCUCCACGCAUCGCAUGUUGUGUGGAGGAAAGGUAGCCUCGGCUAUCCGGCGAGGGAUGGGCCCGCGGUGCGUUAGUUAGUUGGUGGGGUAACGGCCCACCAAGGCGACGAUGCGUAGCUGGUCUGAGAGGAUGAUCAGCCACACUGGGACUGAGACACGGCCCAGACUCCUACGGGAGGCAGCAGCCAGGAAUCUUGGGCAAUGGGCGAAAGCCUGACCCAGCAACACCGUGUGGGUGAUGAAGGCCUUCGGGUCGUAAAGCCCUGUUGAUAGGGACGAAGGGCGAAGGGUUAAUAGCCCCUAGCUUGACGGUACCUUUCGAGGAAGCCCCGGCUAACUACGUGCCAGCAGCCGCGGUAAUACGUAGGGGGCGAGCGUUGUCCGGAAUUAUUGGGCGUAAAGAGCGUGUAGGCGGUUCGGUAAGUCUGCUGUGAAAUCCUGGGGCUCAACCCUGGGCGUGCAGCGGAUACUGCCGGGCUAGAGGGUGGUAGAGGCGAGUGGAAUUCCGAGUGUAGCGGUGAAAUGCGUAGAGAUCGGGUGGAACACCAGCGGCGAAGGCGGCAUCCUGGCCCUGACCUGACGCUGAGGCGCGAGAGCGUGGGGAGCGAACCGGAUUAGAUACCCCGGUAGUCC